rnacentral:tRNA from 1 species
GAGAGAUGGCCGAGCGGCUGAAGGCGACGGUUUGCUAAACCGUUGUACGGUGUCAAGCCGUACCGAGGGUUCGAAUCCCUCUCUCUCC